rnacentral:lncRNA from 1 species
GUUGUCAAGUCGUGGGACAGAGGUUGAGCGAAGGGGAUAUCUUUUAAGAAAGCUUCAAAGACAGAAAAUAUUGUAGGCGAGAGAAUAUGAGCGAAUGUGAUCUCUCAGCAAUAGUUCGAAAAGCCGAAUGAAAGAAUUUACACCGUCAGGGCGAGAAACGUCAAGAGCUCGCUAGAAUGUUACGCUGUAGGUCGAGUUUGAAUGAUCGUAAAUAAACACAAUGUCGCCGGGACAUUCAAUGGGUCCAGGACAUCCCUUUAGCUGGACGGAUAUGUCGUGAAUGUAGAAUGCAGAUCCUGUAGGAGAAAGAAAGACACAGCAAGGAUGUAUGCAGUUGUAGAAGUGGAACAGGAGAAGUAUGAAGUUGUGAUAGUAGUAAAGGUGUCCACUUGCAGACUGUGGC